rnacentral:rRNA from 1 species
UAUUGCACAAUGGGGGAAACCCUGAUGCAGCGACGCCGCGUGAGUGAAGAAGUAUCUCAGCAUGUAAAGCUCUAUCAGCAGUAAAGAUAAUGACGGUACCUGACUAAGAAGCCCCGGCUAACUACGUGCCAGCAGCCGCGGUAAUACGUAGGGGGCAAGCGUUAUCCGGAUUUACUGGGUGUAAAGGGAGCGUAGACGGCAGCGCAAGUCUGGAGUGAAAUGCCGGGGCCCAACCCCGGAACUGCUUUGGAAACUGUGCGGCUCGAGUGCGGGAGAGGUAGGCGGAAUUCCUAGUGUAGCGGUGAAAUGCGUAGAUAUUAGGAGGAACACCAGUGGCGAAGGCGGCUUACUGGACCGUAACUGACGUUGAGGCUCGAAAGCGUGGGGAGCAAACAGG